rnacentral:rRNA from 1 species
ACGAACGCUGGCGGCGUGCUUAACACAUGCAAGUCGAACGAUGAACCACUUCGGUGGGGAUUAGUGGCGAACGGGUGAGUAACACGUGGGCAAUCUGCCCUUCACUCUGGGACAAGCCCUGGAAACGGGGUCUAAUACCGGAUACCACUCUCGCGGGCAUCUGCGAGGGUUGAAAGCUCCGGCGGUGAAGGAUGAGCCCGCGGCCUAUCAGCUUGUUGGUGAGGUAAUGGCUCACCAAGGCGACGACGGGUAGCCGGCCUGAGAGGGCGACCGGCCACACUGGGACUGAGACACGGCCCAGACUCCUACGGGAGGCAGCAGUGGGGAAUAUUGCACAAUGGGCGAAAGCCUGAUGCAGCGACGCCGCGUGAGGGAUGACGG